rnacentral:rRNA from 1 species
GAUGAACGCUGGCGGCGUGCCUAAUACAUGCAAGUCGAGCGAACAGAUGAGGAGCUUGCUCCUCUGACGUUAGCGGCGGACGGGUGAGUAACACGUGGAUAACCUACCUAUAAGACUGGGAUAACUUCGGGAAACCGGAGCUAAUACCGGAUAAUAUAUUGAACCGCAUGGUUCAAUAGUGAAAGACGGUUUUGCUUUCCCUUAUAGAUGGAUCCGCGCCGCAUUAGCUAGUUGGUAAGGUAACGGCUUACCAAGGCAACGAUGCGUAGCCGACCUGAGAGGGUGAUCGGCCACACUGGAACUGAGACACGGUCCAGACUCCUACGGGAGGCAGAAGUAGGGAAUCUUCCGCAAUGGGCGAAAGCCUGACGGAGCAACGCCGCGUGAGUGAUGAAGGUCUUCGGAUCGUAAAACUCUGUUAUUAGGGAAGAACAAAUGUGUAAGUAACUAUGCACGUCUUGACGGUACCUAAUCAGAAAGCCACGGCUAACUACGUG